AUAGCAUAUAUUAAAGUUGUUGCAGUUAAAAAGCUCGUAGUUGGAUUUCUGGAGGGGUGCCGAAGUCCGCACGAUUGCGUGUGCUGAGGCGCCCUUCCAUCCUUCUGUUAACGUUUCUUGGUAUUCAGUUACUGGUUUCGGGCUCAGAUAUUUUACCUUGAGAAAAUUAGAGUGUUCCAGGCAGGCUUGCGCCGGAAUACAUUAGCAUGGAAUAAUAGAAUAGGACUUUUGUCUCCUUUGUUGGUUUGAGGGACUGAAGUAAUGAUUAAUAGGGAUAGUUGGGGGCAUUAGUAUUUAAUUGUCAGAGGUGAAAUUCUCGGAUUUGUUAAAGACUAACUUAUG
rnacentral:rRNA from 1 species